AUUGAACGCUGGCGGCAGGCUUAACACAUGCAAGUCGAGCGGAGAGAAGUAGCUUGCUACUGAUCUUAGCGGCGGACGGGUGAGUAAUGCUUAGGAAUCUGCCUAUUAGUGGGGGACAACAUUUCGAAAGGAAUGCUAAUACCGCAUACGUCCUACGGGAGAAAGCAGGGGAUCUUCGGACCUUGCGCUAAUAGAUGAGCCUAAGUCGGAUUAGCUAGUUGGUGGGGUAAAGGCCUACCAAGGCGACGAUCUGUAGCGGGUCUGAGAGGAUGAUCCGCCACACUGGGACUGAGACACGGCCCAGACUCCUACGGGAGGCAGCAGUGGGGAAUAUUGGACAAUGGGCGGAAGCCUGAUCCAGCCAUGCCGCGUGUGUGAAGAAGGCCUUAUGGUUGUAAAGCACUUUCAGUAGGGAGGAAGGGUUAAGUGUUAAUAGUACUUAACUUUGACGUUACCUACAGAAGAAGCACCGGCUAACUCUGUGCCAGCCGCCGCGGUAAUAC
rnacentral:rRNA from 1 species